UACGUAGGGGGCAAGCGUUGUCCGGAAUCAUUGGCGUAAAGGAGCGUGUAGGCGGCUCGAUAAGUCUGCUGUGAAAAGUCCGACGGCCGUCAACCCUGGAAGGCCGGUGGAAACUGUCGGGCUAGAGUCCGGAAGAGGCGAGUGGAAUUCCCGGUGUAGCGGUGAAAUGGACGCAGAUAUCGGGAGGAACACCAAUGGCGAAGGCAGC
rnacentral:rRNA from 1 species